GACGAACGCUGGCGGCGUGCUUAACACAUGCAAGUCGAGCGGUAAGGCCCUUUCGGGGGUACGACGAGCGGCGAACGGGUGAGUAACACGUGGGUGACCUGCCCUCAGCUCUGGGAUAAGCCUGGGAAACCGGGUCUAAUACUGGAUAUGACUCCAUGACGCAUGUUGUGGGGUGGAAAGCCUUGUGCGGCUGAGGAUGGGCCCGGCGGCCUAUCAGCUUGUUGGUGGGGUGAGGCCUACCAAGGCGACGACGGGUAGCCGGCCUGAGAGGGCGACCGGCCACACUGGGACUGAGACACGGCCCAGACUCCUACGGGAGGGCAGCAGUGGGGAAGUCUUGCGCAAUGGGCGAAAGCCUGACGCAGCGACGCCGCGUGAGGGAUGACGGCCU
rnacentral:rRNA from 1 species